rnacentral:rRNA from 1 species
AGAGUUUGAUCCUGGCUCAGGAUGAACGCUGGCGGCGUGCCUAACACAUGCAAGUCGAGCGAGAAGAUUAUGAUUGAUCCUUCGGGUGAGAGAUUAAUUGGAAAGCGGCGGACGGGUGAGUAACGCGUGAGUAACCUGCCCCAUACACAGGGAUAGCCAUUGGAAACGAUGAUUAAUAUCUGAUAAUACCAUUUUAUCACAUGUUAGAAUGGUCAAAGAUUUAUCGGUAUGGGAUGGACUCGCGUCUGAUUAGCUAGUUGGUAAGGUAACGGCUUACCAAGGCGACGAUCAGUAGCCGACCUGAGAGGGUGAUCGGCCACACUGGAACUGAGACACGGUCCAGACUCCUACGGGAGGCAGCAGUGGGGAAUAUUGCACAAUGGGCGCAAGCCUGAUGCAGCAACGCCGCGUGAACGAAGAAGGCUUUCGGGUCGUAAAGUUCUUUUCUUAGGGAAGAAAAAUGACGUACCUAAGAAUAAGCACCGCUAACU